rnacentral:rRNA from 1 species
ACUCCUACGGGAGGCAGCAGUGGGGAAUUUUGCGCAAUGGGGGAAACCCUGACGCAGCAACGCCGCGUGAGUGAUGAAGGCCUUUGGGUCGUAAAGCUCUGUCAGAGGGGAAGAAAUGAUAUAGUGCUAAUACCACUCUAUCUUGACGGUACCCCCAAAGGAAGCACCGGCUAACUCCGUGCCAGCAGCCGCGGUAAUACGGAGGGUGCGAGCGUUGUUCGGAUUUAUUGGGCGUAAAGCGCGUGUAGGCGGUUAUUUAAGUCUGAUGUGAAAGCCCCGGGCUCAACCUGGGAAGUGCAUUGGAUACUGGGAGACUUGAAUACGGGAGAGGGUAGUGGAAUUCCUAGUGUAGGAGUGAAAUCCGUAGAUAUUAGGAGGAACACCGGUGGCGAAGGCGGCUACCUGGACCGAUAUUGACGCUGAGACGCGAAAGCGUGGGGAGCAAACAGGAUUAGAUACCCUGGUAGUCCACGCCGUAAACGAUGAGUACUAGGUGUUGCGGGUAUUGACCCCUGCAGUGCCGCAGCUAACGCAUUAAGUACUCCSCCUGGGAAGUACGGUCGCAAGACUAAAACUCAAAUGAAUKGACGMKGUUGMGG